rnacentral:lncRNA from 1 species
GCUUCUUUCUCAGAUAGUUGGUGCAGCGCUGAAAGACAGCCCGAAUCCUUCCAGCACACAAGGAACCAAACAUGAAGACUUUUCCUUCGCUUUUCUGGGUUGUGCUCUUGCUCCUCUGGACGUCGACCCCAGGGCACGGCCGUGAGAGAGACACUCAGAAGUGUUAUGAAGACAAAGGAAUGUGUCACUCCACACUCUGUCCUGCUCAGAAGAUCGAGAAGGGAACCUGCAAUGGUGGCUCUCAACUCUGCUGCGUUGACUGCCCUUCUCACUUCCUCUCCUAUGAAGGCACUGGGGCUUACUGUCCUCCCACACUUAGCUUCUGGACCUCUGUCAAAAUUCUUCUUAGUCUCUGCUGGGGGAAAAGCUUCGAAAUGCUGUGAGAAGGCUCAGAAUUUGAAAGAGGCUGGAUUGAGAACUGAGGCUUUCAAGGAAGAAAAGAUCCACUUUCAAACGAAGGAGAUGAUCUCACCGAGCGUGCUCGGGAGCACCAUGGUCCAGCUGGAAUACUAGUUUUCUCAUCAGACAGCUUGGAAAGUCAUGUUUGCCAACUUGCAAAAUAGACUGUCCCUAAUUAGGAGUAGACAAUAUGUAAAUUUGUAAAUAAAGUUGUUGUUAUUGUUUAGUCA